ensembl:snRNA U6 U6 spliceosomal RNA
GUGAUGUCUUCAACAGCACAUAUACUAAAAUUGGAACAAUGCAGAGAUUAGUAUGACCCCUGCCCAUGGAUGACACAAGUUUGUGAAACCUUCCAUAUUAAA